AGUGGUGUGAGUGGUCCUUCGACCUUACUAUCAUUGACUAUUCACAGCAAGGCUACUGAGUUUGACUGCACAUUCUCUUAAUCCCUAGCCAUUCGAGUUUGCUGAGUAUGUUGGCUUCAGUAGGUUCAAAUUUGUUAUUUGGAGUAUGAUGCACCUAGAAAGAAUCUAUCGAUCUUGGUAGAAAAGAAGAAGUCCUAUGCGAUUUGCGAGACUAA
rnacentral:lncRNA from 1 species